AACUUUGUAGCCUAGUUGGUCAAGGUAGCACUUCUAGUAUAGUGUCUUAGCUUCUAAGAUUGCUGGUUCAAAUCCUGCCCAAGUUG
rfam:Puccinia sorghi strain RO10H11247 Scaffold_5744, whole genome shotgun sequence.